AUUGAACGCUGGCGGCAGGCCUAACACAUGCAAGUCGAAUGGUAACAGGAAACAGCUUGCUGUUUCGCUGACGAGUGGCGGACGGGUGAGUAAUGUCUGGGAAACUGCCUGAUGGAGGGGGAUAACUACUGGAAACGGUAGCUAAUACCGCAUAACGUCGCAAGACCAAAGAGGGGGACCUUCGGGCCUCUUGCCAUCAGAUGUGCCCAGAUGGGAUUAGCUAGUAGGUGGGGUAACGGCUCACCUAGGCGACGAUCCCUAGCUGGUCUGAGAGGAUGACAAGCCACACUGGAACUGAGACACGGUCCAGACUCCUACGGGAGGCAGCAGUGGGGAAUAUUGCACAAUGGGCGCAAGCCUGAUGCAGCCAUGCCGCGUGUAUGAAGAAGGCCUUCGGGUUGUAAAGUACUUUCAGCGGGGAGGAAGGGAGUAAAGUUAAUGCCUUUGCUCAUUGACGUUACCCGCAGAAGAAGCACCGGCUAACUCCGUG
rnacentral:rRNA from 1 species